ACAAUUAUACAACUGUGUUUUCUCCAUACCAAACACAAUAAUAGUUUCGUUCUAUUUUUUUUAUUUAACAGAUUUUUACAAAAUAUAAAGAGAAACGUAAAAGCUAUUGGAAAAAGUAAAAAAAAGACGCAAGAGCGAAACGAACGACGACUACGUUAGUAACAACUAUUAAAGAAAGUAUACAGGGAAAGGAAAAA